rnacentral:tRNA from 1 species
CAGGUCGUGGCGUGAAUGGCAACGCACCACGGUGCCAUCGUGGGGUUGAGGGUUCAAGUCCCUCCGGCCUGACCA